CGUGAAUUAAAAUAAUAAGACUUGAAAAUAAAAAUUGAUAAAUUGAUUUGAGAACAAAAAUAUUAACAUGCAAAAGAGAUUGAUUCAAUUGACAAAAGAAAACAAUGGAUGAAUGGAGUUGUUGGGGGUUUACAAUUUCAUCUAAUCCACUCUCUCUUAUCUACUCCUCUUGAAUUAUUAGUUUGAUUAAUUAAUUGUCUUGCAACUUUCUUAGCCUACCCUUAACCCGAUCCCUCGGCGAAAAGAGCCUAAUAUUAACUACUGGCUUGCUAUCCCUAGCCUCCCCUAGCAAUUAAUACAACAUUAUAGAGCAGAAGUUAACGCAAUUGAUCGUCCUACCCCUAUCCCUAGGUGGUAUUGCAAAAUCAAGAAAUUACUCACCAGUUCAUGACAUUACUGUACGUCUCCGUAUCAAUAAAGACAAACAACAGUUACCGAAUUAGUUAAACGAUAAAGGCCUUAAGCACAGAUGAGAACCCAACAAUUAACGAUCAAACAUAUGGAAACCAUAUAAAUAAUCAAGAGUUUCAAUAAAAGAGAGUAUCAAAAGAUUACAUUGUUUCCCCCAACAACAAUAGGGUUUAGUUCACCAUUGACAUGGUGAAACUAGAUGAGAAAUGGAAGAAGAAUGGAAAAGCAAACCCUAGAAAAGAUGAAAAGGAGCCUAAGCAUCCAAGAGAUCCUCUCUAGAGAGCAAAAUUAGGUCUGGUCGUCGUCCCCUGUCAAAAGAAUGACUCUGAAUUCGAAAUAGGGGUAUUGAUAGGUGAGGAGUGUUACCAAUAAGGAGUAUUGGUAAAACCUGAAGAUGUGUUUUGAUGAUGCUGCAACUUGUAGAUUUUGAAUGUAGUAGGAAAAUAUUAAACCUUGUAAUUUUUACUGGAAUAAUCGAU
rnacentral:lncRNA from 1 species